GCAUCCUUCCACGAUUAAAUGAGGUGUGUUUGAGUGAGCUUGCACUUCCUAUCAUGUUUGUUAUUUCUUAGAUAUUAGUCAUAGUUACCUAAUUUACGGCUUUGCGCCUCCCCAUCCCUCUCUAUCAUCUCCAACAAAUUGCGAUCUGGAAUGCACAUCCUAGAACAUGGUACGUCAGCAUUCCAAAACGCUUCGGUAUGUGUCCUGUUUCACUGAAAUAACAGUUCCAGAUCUUAUUUCAAUUUGAUAUCCCCCUCUGAACCACGAUUUGGAACACAUUUCCUAGAUUCCUAGAAUACAGUACACUGGUGUUCCAAAAUGCUUAGGUGUCCUGGUUCGCAUGUCCUAUUAAAAUCAAAUUGUAAAAUAUAUACAUAAUGAAAAAAAAAAAAAGAAUUAUCAUAUUAGUUGGAAAAUUUAUGAAUAACUAGCCCUGCAAAUUGAACAAGUAUAAUGCUGCGGAGGAAAAUACACGGUUUUAAUGUCAUAUUUUUGGAUAAAAGAUUAAAUUUUAGUCUCUUAUCAAAUUCUUGUAUGUCAUAUUUUUGGAUAAAAGAUUAAAUUUUAGUCUCUUAUCAAAUUCUUGUAUGUGUGUUGUCACUCAUGACCAGCAUUUCGGCUAUUGACAAAAUUUUAUUGUGUUGAUUAAUAAAACUAUGAUGUGCAAUUAAUAGUUGUAUCUGUUUUUUGGAUUUGGCAAGAUGUGGUCAAUUAAAUUAAUAUGACUUGGUGAUAUCCAUUAAACCACUAUUGGUUUUGCUCUUCAAAGAGGAGAGAUGCCAUUCAUUGGGAAUUGUUGUUUUUAUGAAUUACAGUUAAAUAUACUACUGAAUGUGUUGCUUUUGGGCCAGUGGAGUCUUUUGGAUUUGAUUCCUUCCUUUGCCAAUAAUUAGGUGCAUAUCUAUUACAAGUACUAUUCUAAUUUUUGUUAUAUUCUGCACAGCAUUUAGAUAUGAAAGAAUUUAAUUUCCUGUUCUACCAGGAUUAUAGUAGAUUAAACGGAUGAAAGAUAAAAAUAUUUAAAUAAUUUCUGAUGUCAUUUUUAUUGGAUUAAGCAUCUCUGGUACUAGUUAAGCUGUUCCUCCUGUUUGAUUGGCCUAUUUCAGGACAUAAAUGAAGAAUGGAUAU
rnacentral:misc_RNA from 1 species